rnacentral:rRNA from 1 species
GAUGAACGCUGGCGGCGUGCUCAACACAUGCAAGUCGAACGAAGCACUUUAUUUGAUUUCCUUCGGGACUGAUUAUUUUGUGACUGAGUGGCGGACGGGUGAGUAACGCGUGGGUAACCUGCCUUGUACAGGGGGAUAACAGUUGGAAACGGCUGCUAAUACCGCAUAAGCGCACAGCAUCGCAUGAUGCAGUGUGAAAAACUCCGGUGGUAUAAGAUGGACCCGCGUUGGAUUAGCUAGUUGGUGAGGUAACGGCCCACCAAGGCGACGAUCCAUAGCCGACCUGAGAGUGUGACCGGCCACAUUGGGACUGAGACACGGCCCAAACUCCUACGGGAGGCAGCAGUGGGGAAUAUUGCACAAUGGGCGAAAGCCUGAUGCAGCGACGCCGCGUGAGCGAAGAAGUAUUUCGGUAUGUAAAGCUCUAUCAGCAGGGAAGAUAAUGACGGUACCUGACUAAGAAGCACCGGCUAAAUACGUG